GGACGACGCUGGCGGCGUGCUUUAACACAUGCAAGUCAAGGGGGGCUGGGGGCAACUCCGGUCAACCGGCGAACGGGUGCGUAACACGUGAGCGACCUGCCCGCUUGUGGGGGAUAGCCGGCCCAACGGCCGGGUAAUACCGCAUACGCUUUUCCUGGGGCAUCCCGGGGAUCGGAAAGAUUGAUCGCAGGCGGAGGGGCUCGCGGCCUAUCAGCUAGUUGGCGAGGUAACGGCUCACCAAGGCGACGACGGGUAGCUGGUCUGAGAGGAUGGCCAGCCACAUUGGGACUGAGAAACGGCCCAGACUCCUACGGGAGGCAGCAGUGGGGAAUCUUGCGCAAUGGGCGAAAGCCUGACGCAGCGACGCCGCGUGGGGGAGGAAGGGCUUCGGCUUGUAAACCCCUGUUGCCCGGGACGAAUCCCUGACAUUGGUCAGGUUGACGGUACCGGGUGAGGAAGCACCGGCUAACUCCGUGCCAGCAGCCGCGGUAAUACGGAGGGUGCGAGCGUUGUCCGGAAUCACUGGGCGUAAAGGGCGCGUAGGUGGUAACCUAAGCGUGUGGUGAAAGCUCGGGGCUCAACCUCGAGUCGGCCAUGCGAACUGGGUCACUGGAGCACUGUAGAGGCAGGUGGAAUUCCGGGUGUAGCGGUGGAAUGCGUAGAGAUCCGGAAGAACACCGGUGGCGAAGGCGGCCUGCUGGGCAGUUGCUGACACUGAGGCGCGACAGCGUGGGGAGCAAACAGGAUUAGAUACCCUGGUAGUCCACGCCGUAAACGAUGGGCACUAGGUGCUUCGGGGAGCGACCCUCGGAGUGCCGGCGCUAACGCAUUAAGUGCCCCGC
rnacentral:rRNA from 1 species